rnacentral:rRNA from 1 species
AGCGAACGCUGGCGGCAUGCCUAACACAUGCAAGUCGCACGGGGGGGCUUCGGCCUCCCAGUGGCGGACGGGUGAGGAACGCGUAGGGACCUGUCGAGGGGUGGGGGAUAACCGCGGGAAACUGCGGCGAAUACCGCAUGACGCCGCGGCGUGACAGCCGGGGCCAAAGGGGAGAGCCGCCCGCCGCGGGGCCUGCGUCCGCUUAGCUGGUUGGCGGGGUAGCGGCCCGCCAAGGCGCCGAUCGGUAGCUGGUCGGGGAGGGUGAUCCGCCACACUGGGACUGCGACACGGCCCGCACUCCUACGGGAGGCAGCAGUGGGUUAUAUUGGACAAUGGGCGCAAGCCUGAUCCAGCAAUGCCGCGUGGGUGAAGAAGGUCUUCGGAUUGUAAAGCCCUUUCGGCGGGGACGAUGGUGACGGUACCCGCAGAAGAAGCCCCGGCUAACUUCGUG